CAGUCGCCACGGUAAUACGGAAGGUCCAGGCGUUAUCCGGAUUUAUUGGGUUUAAAGGGAGCGUAGGCUGUUGGUUAAGCGUGUUGUGAAAUGUAGAUGCUCAACAUCUGAAUUGCAGCGCGAACUGUCCGACUUGAGUGCGCGGAAAGCAGGCGGAAUUCGUUGUGUAGCGGUGAAAUGCUUAGAUAUGACGAAGAACUCCGAUUGCGAAGGCAGCUUGCUGUAGCGUAACUGACGCUGAAGCUCGAAAGUGCGGGUAUCGAACAGGAUUAGAUACCCCAGUAGUCCCUGUCUCUUAUAC
rnacentral:rRNA from 1 species